rnacentral:misc_RNA from 1 species
GAUGAAGAACGCAGCGAAAUGCGAUAAGUAGUGUGAAUUGCAGAAUUCAGUGAAUCAUCGAAUCUUUGAACGCACAUUGCGCCCCUUGGUAUUCCAUGGGGCAUGCCUGUUCGAGCGUCAUUUGUACCUUCAAGCUUUGCUUGGUGUUGGGUGUUUGUCCCUCGGGACUCGCCUUAAAGUUAUUGGCAGCCAGUGUUUUGGUUUUGAAGCGCAGCACAAGUCGCGAUUCAAGGCUAUCCGCCCGCUUCCACAAGCCUUUUUCACUUUUGACCUCGGAUCAGGUAGGGAUACCCGCUGAACUUAAGCAUAUCAAUAAGCGGAGA